AUUUUGUUUGCCUCCCUAUCCUUCUAUCUGCCUAACAGGUUUAUUAUUGCUGCCAGAAGGAAUUAACCUUCCCAUGCAAUCUAUGUCCCCUAUGUUUCUAAUUGCUUACUGCUUCUCCAUGCCAGGACCUAGACAAACCUCACUAAUUGACAGGGCUGUGUUGCCUCACACUAGUAAACUAAUGCUAAACAACCUAUUUCUGUCAAGAGGGCAGACUAUACAUGCUAAU